ensembl:snoRNA SNORD81 Small nucleolar RNA SNORD81
CAGAAUACAUGAUGAUCUCAUCUCAACUUGAACUCUCUCACUGAUUACUUGAUGAGAAAAGAUUUGAUAUUCUG